GGAGCAGGGGCUCCCAAUUGAGGAACAUCGAGUUCGGCACCUCCCUUAACAGCUACAUGGAGGAGUAUGCGGCGUACAUUUUCUGCCCUCAAGGCACGGCCAAAAUGCAAGAGAAUGCAGUGACAAAGAGCAGCCGGGCCAAGGUGCUAGUUAAAUUUCUUUGCCUCGGCUGCCCGUCACUGCAGUUGUGUGAUUGGAGGUUACUCUUUAACCUGCCCCUGCUCAAGUCCUACCCUGCACUCCUGAGGAACAUCGGCCUGGCCCCAACUACAGUGGCACUGUAUUUGGGCACAUGAUGAGGAACACAUGAUGAGGAAUUGCUCAAUUUGGGGCGAAGGGAGAAACAAAACAAGAUACUUAACGGAGGUGACAGAUCAUGACACUAACCUUAUGUAUACCUGUUCUUUAUUCUGAAGGUGACGCCAUGGAAGAAGCAAUCCGCUUCACAGCUUCUG